AUUGAACGCUGGCGGCAUGCCUUACACAUGCAAGUCGAACGGCAGCACGGGAGCAAUCCUGGUGGCGAGUGGCGAACGGGUGAGUAAUAUAUCGGAACGUGCCCAGUCGUGGGGAUAACGUAGCGAAAGCUACGCUAAUACCGCAUACUAUCUAUGGAUGAAAGCGGGGGAUCGCAAGACCUCGCGCGAUUGGAGCGGCCGAUAUCAGAUUAGGUAGUUGGUGAGGUAAAGGCUCACCAAGCCGACGAUCUGUAGCUGGUCUGAGAGGACGACCAGCCACACUGGGACUGAGACACGGCCCAGGACUCCUACGGGAGGCAGCAGUGGGGAAUUUUGGACAAUGGGCGCAAGCCUGAUCCAGCAAUGCCGCGUGCAGGAUGAAGGCCUCGGUUGUAACGUA
rnacentral:rRNA from 1 species